UGAUUGUUCAUCCCAACUAUGAUACAACCCAUCCGACUUUAUCUGCCAAAAUAUAAAGAUAUGAUUUUGAUCAUAUGGAACAUCAUGAGCAAGAAAUACACUAUGAGAACUGCUUCGCAGGACAUCACAUUCAGUAUUAGUGGAUGAUACAACUACUAUUUGAGAUGUUGAUCCCGAAGAUCCCGCAAAGCUUCCCGCCGAGCCACAAUUGUAUCUCACAUUUUCUGAUAACAUAGUUUGAAUUUUUAUAAUACUCUCUCCUACAUCGAUUGAAAGCUUGGCAUUUAUUGGAGUAUUACCGAG
rnacentral:lncRNA from 1 species